GCGCAUGCGCGGCGCGAGCGGCCCGGCCCCACAGCCGCAGGUCGUUGGUAAGGCGGGUCCGCGGACCCCAGGUCGAGCCCAGCGGCAGUGCAGGAUCGCAAGCGGCCCGGCACCGGCGCCGCAGGUUACAAAAACCUGAGACUUCCAUUUUGCUGGAACCUUCUUUUCCUCUUGCACACUCACUCUGCGACUCUGUGUGGAGAGCUCCAAGUGACAAGGGAGGUCUGCAGCCUAAGCAACUGACACCUCAGCCCAACAGCCCUCAAAGAACUGGAUCUUCAAACAACCACAUGAGUGACCUAGAAGCAAAUCUGUCACCAGUGCUCUUGAGACGGGCUGAAGUAUUUAAUCACCGGCACAAAAUGUCCCAGUGUUCUGUUCUCCUGCCGUGGAAAUUUUAGAGAAAAGAUCAUGAUCUAAGAGUCUACAAGACCAGAGCAGCCUAAAUUGCUGAGCUGCCUGGUGGAGAAUAGCAGCAUUGGGUGGUUCCCAGGAUUCUUAAAAGGACUUUACAAAGAAAUGUAAAAGGCGGCAAGAAGCUUUUUCUUUCUUAUCCACAAGUAACACCUACCAAUCCAGCUCAUAGGCCAUUGGCCAGAACUAAUCAUAAGACCUCGCCUAAAAGAAAGAAAAGAUGGUCUAACAUGGGAACUAAAUAUUGAUGAACAUAAUAAUGCUCACACAUGACAUUUCAAACCAGUGGGAGAAAUUGGACUAAUAUACAAUAGUGUUAGAACAAUUUCCUCUUCAUUAAGAAAAAAAAGUAUAUCUCUACCUCAAUCUAUAUCCAAAAUAAGUUCUAGAUCCACUAAUGAAAGAGCACAAAAUUUAAACUGCUCUUGGAAAAGUGUUUGGAAAAUAAUUAUAUAAUCAUCUAGUGGGCAAAGCCUUCCUACGUAACAUAUGAAACACAGAAGCUAUAAAAGGGCUUUAGGAAAUUUGCCACACAAUUAAAAAAACAUCAAGCAAAGUCAAACCAGGUGAAAUGAUCUGAACUAUAGAUAGCACUCAAAGGUUUAGUGUCACUGAAAUUCAAAAAGUUCUACAAAUAAUUAAGAAAAAGAUAUUCAAACCAGCUGGAAAAUAUGGAAUAUUAUAUUACUUAUAGAAGAACAAAAAACAAAUGACAUAUGUAUAUGAAAAGCAGUUCAUACAUACUGCUGAUCAGAAAUAUACAUUUUAUACCAAUACAGUUUGUUGGAUGAUUCCUUUUGGGGUUAAAGCAAUUGUGAUUAGGACUAGCCAUGCUGUUAUUGUAAAACCUUCAGUGGACUCAAAUCACAACAGCUUACGUUUUGUAAUUAUUUCCCCCUUUCAUUUUUUUUAUUAUACUUUCUGAUUACAUGAUAUUGGGAGACUGGCAUGUGUCAAUUUUAAGGCCUGGCCUAAUCAAUUAAGAGCUCUUAAGGAGUGAAUGGGCUCUUCCUGAAAAAACAGCUUCUGCUAACCCUGAAAAAGCAAACAACCACCCUGUGAACUGCUAUGGAGAGAGAUGGCCUCUAACAGCUGAGGACCUCAGUCCUACAACCACAAGAAACUGAUUUCUGCCAACAACAUGAAUGAACUUGGAAAAGGCCCCUGAGCUCCAGAUGAGAACACCCAGGUCAACUCAGGUCAUGAGCAGAGAACCCUGUUAUAUUCUCCUUGGCUUGUGAUCCAUAAACAAUGAGAUUAUAAAUGUGUGGUUUUUAAGCCAUUAGGUUUGUGGUAACUUGUUACACAAGCCUCUUUUAGAUUCUUUACAUACACAAAUAUAUUCUAAACGAAUAAUGAGUCUUCCUUUCCCAUCUUUAUACCAUUUACUUCUUAUUCUUCCCUUACCGCUUUAAGACCUCUAGUAUAAAGUUGACUAGAAAAGGUGGUAGUGGCAUUAUUGUGUAGUUCUUUAUAUCAAAGGGAAGAUUUUCAAUGUUUUGAUGUUAAGUAUGACACUUACUAUAGGUUUUUCAUAGAUGCUCUUUAAUCAGUUUAAGCAAUUCUUGUCUAUCCCUAGAAUUAUUGUCAGGAAUAAAUGUUGACUUUUAUCGAACACUGUUUCUGCACCUUUUAAAAAUAUCAUAUUUUUUCCUUCAAAUGGUUACUGUGUUGAAUUAUAUUAGCAGACAUUCUAAUGUUAAAGUAACCUAUCAUUCCAGAGAAAAGGAGGUGAGAAUAGCAGUUUAGUUAUGAUGCUGUAUCCUGUAGGGGUGGGUUGCCCCUACACACCUGUGGGUGUUUCUCGUAAGGUGGAACGAGAGACUUGGGAAAGAAAAAGACACAGAGACAAAGUAUAGAGAAAGAAAUAAGGGGACCCGGGGAACCAGCGUUCAGCAUAUGGAGGAUCCCCUAUGGAGGAUCCCGCCAGCCUCUGAGUUCCCUUAGUAUUUAUUGAUCAUUUGUGGGUGUUUCUCCAAAAGGGGGAUGUGUCAGGGUCACAAGACAAUUGUGGGGAGAGGGUCAGCAGACAAACACGUGAACAAAGGUCUUUGCAUCAUAGACAAUGUAAAGGAUUAAGUGCUGUGCUUUUAGAUAUGCAUACACAUAAACAUCUCAAUGCCUUACAGAGCAGUAUUGCUGCCCGCAGGUCCCACCUCCGGCCCUAAGGUGGUUUUUCCCUAUCUCAGUAGAUGGAGCAUACAAUCGGGUUUUAUACCGAGACAUUCCAUUGCCCAGGGACAGGCAGGAGACAGAUGCCUUCCUCUUGUCUCAACUGCAAGAGGCAUUCCUUCCUCUUUUACUAAUCCUCCUCAGCACAGACCCUUUACGGGUGUCGGGCUGGGGGACGGUCAGGUCUUUCCCUUCCCACGAGGCCAUAUUUCAGACUAUCACAUGGGGAGAAACCUUGGACAAUACCUGGCUUUCCUAGGCAGAGGUCCCUGCGGCCUUCCGCAGUUUUUGUGUCCCUGGGUACUUGAGAUUAGGGAGUGGUGAUGACUCUUAAGGAGCAUGCUGCCUUCAAGCAUCUGUUUAACAAAGCACAUCUUGCACCGCCCUUAAUCCAUUUAACUCUGAGUUGACACAGCACAUGUUUCAGAGAGCACGGGGUUGGGGGUAAGGUUAUAGAUGAACAGAAUCUCAAGGCAGAAGAAUUUUUCUUAGUACAGAACAAAAUGGAGUCUCCUAUGUCUACUUCUUUCUACAUAGACACAGUAACAAUCUGAUCUCUCUUGCUUUUCCCCACAGUAUCCCUUUUAUAAAUUCUUGGAUUCAAUUUGCCAAUAUUUGGUCUAAGAUUUUUGCAUUAUGUUAAUGACUGGAAAUGAGUCUUAAUUUUCCUUUAUUUUUCUGGCUUCUUUGUGUUUCGAUAUCAAGAAUAUGCAAGUCUCAUGCAAUAAAUUAUAUGGAAGAGUUGG